rnacentral:rRNA from 1 species
UCAGUGAAAUCGAGUAGGACGGGACACGUGUUAUCCUGUCUGAAUAUGGGGGGACCAUCCUCCAAGGCUAAAUACUCCUGACUGACCGAUAGUGAACCAGUACCGUGAGGGAAAGGCGAAAAGUACCCCUGUGAGGGGAGUGAAAUAGAACCUGAAACCGUGUACGUACAAGCAGUAGGAGCAGGCUUGUCCUGUGACUGCGUACCUUUUGUAUAAUGGGUCAGCGACUUAAUUUUAGUAGCAAGGUUAACCAUCUAGGGGAGCCGUAGGGAAACCGAGUCUUAACUGGGCGUCAUAGUUGCUAGGAUUAGACCCGAAACCGAGUGAUCUAGCCAUGGGCAGGUUGAAGAUUGAGUAACAUCAAUUGGAGGACCGAACCGACUAAUGUUGAAAAAUUAGCGGAUGACUUGUGGCUAGGGGUGAAAGGCCAAUCAAACUCGGAGAUAGCUGGUUCUCCCCGAAAGCUAUUUAGGUAGCGCCUCGGACGAAUACUACUGGGGGUAGAGCACUGUUAAGGCUAGGGGGUCAUCCCGACUUACCAACCCUUUGCAAACUCCGAAUACCAGUAAGUACUAUCCGGGAGACACACGGCGGGUGCUAACGUCCGUCGUGAAGAGGGAAACAACCCAGACCGCCAGCUAAGGUCCCAAAGUUAUAGCUAAGUGGGAAACGAUGUGGGAAGGCUCAGACAGCCAGGAUGUUGGCUUAGAAGCAGCCAUCAUUUAAAGAAAGCGUAAUAGCUCACUGGUCGAGUCGGCCUGCGCGGAAGAUUUAACGGGGCUAAGCUAUACACCGAAGCUGCGGCAAUGUGCUAUGCACAUUGGGUAGGGGAGCGUUCUGUAAGCCGU